rnacentral:lncRNA from 1 species
GAUCAUAAAAGAGGUGGAGUAAUCUUUCUCCAAAGGUUCUCAAAGUUUUACUUUUAUCUCUUGAGCUUAAGAAUAAGAGUGGUGAUGGUCUUAUCAUCGGGAGAGAUUUCAUGUAACCCAAGGCUUAUAAGGGUUGAAAUACUCUUUUCGGAAAGUGGUAUCCACGAUUCUGUCACGAUCCAAGAUCCCCUAAGUUCUCUGAAACAUUGUUGUGUACGAAGUUCUCAACUUGGGUAUCAUAAAGAAAUGAUUCCUAAGGUUUUAGGGAUUUAAGUAGUCCUUGUGACUCCCCUACUUCCUAGGAACACAAAUGAUUUUGUGUUCGGUCAACAAGGUUUUGUUUCUAGGAAAGGAACCUCCUUUCCGAUACCCAUUGUUGAGUGAAAUCUCCAACACCACAUGUUAGGAUGCCAUUUGGAGACUUUUUGUAAGGUCUUAAUAAAAGUCAACCAUAUAUGUAAGAGUUUACUUCAUGUUAUAAUCUGUUGCAACCGAUCUCGGUUCAACCGAUAACGAAUAGGCUCCAAACCUAGUUUAUUUGUUUGGUUGGUUUGUUUUGUCGAUUCGCAAAACGGAGAGUUUAAAUGUCCUCCUUACUGACUAUAUAAGUGGAAUCUGACCUAAUGGAGAUAUAGAAUCUCUUCUACGGAACCUUAAAGUUAGACUCUCUCCACAGCCAUCAGAGAUUUAGAAGCUGCCGACGAUCAGCAUUAACAAACUUUGUGUCUCUUUACGUUUCUCGUUGUAGAUCUACUCUUGCAUGUUCGAUCUGAGAGCCUUUGAUAGUUUGUCUAAUCGAUUUCAUUGCAUGUGUGACCAAAUCUGAUAUCACUUCCAAAU